rnacentral:rRNA from 1 species
CUUGUCUCAAGACUAAGCCUGCAUGUCCAAGUAUGAACGUUUCUGUACAGUGAAACUGCGAAUGGCUCAUUAAAUCAGUUAUAGUUUAUUUGAUGGUUCCUUGCUACUUGGAUAACCGUGGUAAUUCUAGAGCUAAUACAUGCAGAAAGUCCCGACUGUCUCGGAAGGGAUGUAUUUAUUAGAUCCAAAACCAGUGCGAGCUCUCCUCCGGGGAGUUCGGUUCGCGGGUGAUUCAUGAUAACUGCUCGAAUCGCAGGGCCCUAGUGCCGGCGAUGAUCCAUUCAAAUUUCUGCCCUAUCAACUUUCGAUGGUACGGUAGUGGCCUACCAUGGUUGCAACGGGUGACGGAGAAUUAGGGUUCGAUUCCGGAGAGGGAGCCUGAGAAACGGCUACCACAUCCAAGGAAGGCAGCAGGCGCGCAAAUUACCCAAUCCCGGCUCGGGGAGGUAGUGACAAUAAAUAACAAUGCUGGGCCAAUUCGGUCUGGCAAUUGGAAUGAGUACAACCUAAACUCCUUAACGAGGAACAAUUGGAGGGCAAGUCUGGUGCCAGCAGCCGCGGUAAUUCCAGCUCCAAUAGCGUAUAUUAAAGUUGUUGCAGUUAAAAAGCUCGUAGUUGGAUUUCGGGGCGGCCCGGUCGGUCCGUCGCAAGGCGUGCACUGGUCGUGCGCCCUUCCUCUCGGAGGCCCCGGCUGCUCUUGGUUGUAGCGGUCGGGGAGUUCGGGACGUUUACUUUGAAAAAAUUAGAGUGUUCAAGGCAGGCUGCCGCCUGAAUACAUUAGCAUGGAAUAAUGGAAGAGGACCUCGGUCCUAUUUUGUUGGUUUCCAGGGCCGAAGUAAUGAUUAAGAGGGACAGUUGGGGGCAUUCGUAUUUAAUUGUCAGAGGUGAAAUUCUCGGAUUUAUGAAAGACGAACAACUGCGAAAGCAUUUGCCAAGGAUGUUUUCAUUAAUCAAGAACGAAAGUUGGGGGUUCGA